GAGGCUGAAGGGAACGGCCAUGACCUUGCUGAGCCAGCCAGACCAAUCCCACAGCGAGGCCAUGAAGACUCAGUGACCAGAGCAGGGAAGGGAGGGAGGCGAGCUGUUCUCUUGAAGGGCCAUCAGGCCCUUGGGCGCGUGGCGGCCACAGGAGGGCGCCAUUCAGCUCCCCUUUCAAGAGAGCCAUUCGAGGAGCGGGGUUGACAGACCGCCUCUGGAUCCCCCAGGCCUUCACGCUGAGCCCACACUAGACCCCGGCUGCUCCCAGGACAAAGAUGAGCACAGCGGGGGUCUCAGAGCCAGACCACCGCUGCCCAGCACGGUGCUCCUCCAAAGGACACCCCUUGCUUGGGUCACCAAACCCACCUGGCCAAGACUUUCUCAGAACCAACCGUGCUGUAAUCUGAGGUCCUCCUACCCAGCCCCUCGCUCCCUUCUCAGAGAGACAAUUGAUCUAGGCAACAAUCAUCAGUCGCAGCCAACGUUCAAAGAGAGAGACAACCACAGGCUAUGUGCCUCCUGACGGAAGAACAGAACACCACCCUAAUCGCACCAAAAGACAAACUGAAAACACAAGAAAACUUGAAUCUCAUCAAGCCUCUCGCUCUAACUUCCAAUGGGCAGAAAAUAUCCUCACACUGUAGAAAAUACACAGAACAAAGCAACACGUCCAACCACAGCUCCGGGAUGCAACCAGCAAAAUGCGGACUCUAGGAAACCAAACACAGAGAACAAAACACAAUUUCUCUAACAAAUGAUGUGUAAAGAGAAACAAAACAGAGAGAGGAAGAGAACUCACAGAUUAAAAGAAACUCGAGAGAUCCAUCAAGCAGUUGUGAUACAGGGAACUUGUUCAGAUCCUGACUGAAACAAACAAACUUGUAGGGGAAACAACUCAAAACAUGUAACAAUAAACAUUGAUGAGACAGCUGAAAAAAACUGAAUAUCAAUUGGAUAUUUUAUGAUAUUAAAGAAUUAUUGUUAAUA